rnacentral:rRNA from 1 species
AUAAGCGGAGGAAAAGAAACCAACAGGAUGCCUAGUAACGGCGAGUGAAGCGGCAACAGCUCAAAUUUGAAAUCUGGCCCCCGGGUCCGAGUUGUAAUUUGUAGAGGAUGCUUUUGGUGCGGUACCUUCCGAGUGCCUGGAACGGGACGCCAUAGAGGGUGAGAGCCCCGUCUGGUUGGACGCCAAUCCUUUGUAAAGCUCCUUCAACGAGUCGAGUAGUUUGGGAAUGCUGCUCUAAAUGGGAGGUAUAUGUCUUCUAAAGCUAAAUAUUGGCCAGAGACCGAUAGCGCACAAGUAGAGUGAUCGAAAGAUGAAAAGCACUUUGAAAAGAGAGUUAAAAAGUACGUGAAAUUGUUGAAAGGGAAGCGCUCAUGACCAGACUUGGGCUUGGUUGAUCAUCCAGGGUUCUCCCUGGUGCACUCUUCCGGCCCAGGCCAGCAUCAGUUCGCUGUGGGGGAUAAAGGCUUCGGGAAUGUGGCUCCCUCGGGAGUGUUAUAGCCCGUCGUGUAAUACCCUGUGGUGGACUGAGGUUCGCGCAUUCGCAAGGAUGCUGGCGUAAUGGUCAUCAGC